rnacentral:miRNA from 14 species
GCCUCCGCCACCGCCCCGCCCGCCCUCGGCCGCGCCUCCUCCUGCGUCUGGGUCCCGCGGCGGGCCUGCGGCCGGGGCGGGCGGGCGGGGGCGGC